rnacentral:lncRNA from 1 species
AUCUGAGCUUGGUUUGUUCCCCCAGAGCUCACCCACUGGAAGCUUGGUCCCAGUGUGGAAGCAAGGUCAGGGUGGUGAUACCUUUAACAAAUGGGGCCGGGGGGUGGUUAUUAGGCCCUCAGGAGACCCACUCUCAGGAAUGGAUAAUGCUUUGCUCAGAGUGCUGACUGGGUCUUGCAGAAGUGAGUUUGUUUCCGGGAAGGGGGUUGUACAGAGAGUGAGCCUGGUCUCUCUGCCUCUCAUGUCCUGUCUUGCCAAGCAUAUGAGACAUUUACUGGAACGGAUCAGAUGUCAGAGGCAGGCACUUGAAUCUCCAGAAUGCCCGUUUCUCCCCAGGAUGGAAAUAAACAAACAGAGGGGAGCAGAUUGAGAGCAAAUCUAAUUAUGAGUGCCACGCUGAUCCCCAAGGAACCCACCUGCUCCUCAGAAGGAUGAACCACAUGGUUAUGUUAUCUUAUAAGACCAGUCCUCUUCCUUCCAUAAAGAAAUGGCACCCUCCAUGGCUCCAUUUUGUUCCCCCAAAUCUGGCAUCCAUUUGUAAUUUCCUAGAUGGAGCUCAUCGUACAGCAUAUCCAUCCAUUCAACAAACGCUUUACCGAAUGCUUCAGGCCCUGUUGCAGACAUUGGAAAUGCAAUAGUGCAAAAGCAACAGGAGGAUGUGCACUGUUGUUCUCAACCAACACUGCAACUGCAGAACUAUUCCGGUCUUCGAAUGAUUAUAUACAGGAAAACUGAAUUGGUGAUUUUGUUGGCAUAUGCACAGGCAGAAUGACCGCUAUGACUGGACAGCUUUCUGGUUUCACUACUCAAGUCAAAGACGUUGCUUUUGAAUGUAAAUCUACACACCAUGUCAUCCAUAGAGAAACGCUAGCUAGCCAAAAAAUGUCAUCUAAACUUAAUAGCAUUUGAAGAAGUGAUUAAAAUUCUCAACUGCAUGGAAGUCCAUGCCCUUACCUCAUGUCUGUUUACACAGCUCUGUGAGGAGAUGGGCACAGAGCACACACAUGUUCUCUUGUUCACCCAAGUGAGACGGCUUUCUAAAGGAAGAUCAAUGACUAGAGUUUUUGAGUUACAAGAGCCACUCUAGACAUUUGUUUUAGAAAAUCGUCACCCCUGGCAGCAUAUUUCAGUGACACAGAAUCAGUUGGAAAAAUUGCUUACUUAUGUGACAUAUUCAACCUGCUCAAGAACUUAAUCUGUCACUUCUGGGAGAACAACAACUGUGCUCGAGUCGGCAGAUAAAGUGGCUGCACUCAGAGCCAAACUGGGAUUAUGGGAGCAGUGAGUGAACAUCGGGAUGUUUGACAUGGUUCAAAUGUUAGCAAGAUUUUGAAAGAGACUGAGGCAGGACCUUCUUCCUUGCAUCUGUCUCAGCUUUCAAAAGAGUCUGAGCACCAUGACCCCAUGACCAAAGAGCCCCAAACCAGGAAGGCAUGGAUCCACGGCUCAUUUGUAAAUACACGGACUUUUCUGUGCUAGGAGAGGAUCAGCUGCUUGAGAACACAAGUGACAGUGGUCUUAAAAGUAUGUUUCAGGGGGCCGGGGAUUUAGCUCAGUGGUUCUGCCGCCUGCCUUGCAAGCGCAAGGUCCUGAGUUCCAUCCCCAGUACCAAAAAAAAAAAAAGUGUGCUUGAGACAAAUUGAAAUCUCCGUAUGUUCUUGAUUAAAGACAAAGUGGGAUAGUCUGAGAUUGCCACAAAAGCACUGAAAAUCCACCUUCCAUUUACAGCAUCUUUGUUAAGCAGGGUUAUUCACAGCAACAACAGCCAUGGAAUAGACUGAGCAUAAGUGACGUGAAACAGAUCUCACUGUCUUGCAUCAGCCCCAGAUGAGACUGCCAAGUUGCAAGAAAACAAGCUCAGAGUUCCUGUCUUAGUUACUUUUCUCGUUGCUGAGAUAAAACACUCGACAUCAGAAGUUAAAGGAAGAAAGCUUAUUUUGGCUCAUAGUUUUAGAGGUUUCAGUCCACAGUCAGCUGGCUCCAAGCCAGGGUGGCACAGCAGAGGGGCAUCACAGAGAAGAAAUAGUCCAUGGCAAAGAAGGCAGAAGGCAGCAGAAGCAGCCAAGCAGCUAGCAGCAAGCAACAAGCAAGGACUCUCUUCCUGUCUCUUAUGUCUUAUCCAAGCUACCCACCCUUAGAGCAGGCACCUCUCACACCCUUAAUCCUACCAUUGCAUCCUUGAUCCCAGAAUCACACACCCUAAGUUGAGCCACCUCCAAAAAGCCCCACUUAUGACUGCAUGAGGCCUUGGGGGGACAUCUAGAUACAAGCCAUAGCAGUUCCCAUUGAUUCCACAUAUGGUGACUUGCAUAAUUAUUUCAUUAUGUAUUACAAUGUAAUAAUAAUAAAAAUAAAGCUCACAAUAAAUAUAAUGUGCCUGAAUCAUCCCCAAACCACCCCCUACCUGACUCUCAUCCACAGAAAAAACUGUCUUCCACAAAACUAGUCUCCCUGGUGCAGAUUAAGUUCCUGCUUUAAUCUUGUCUAAGAACUCACCACAUUGGGUAGAGUCCACUUAAAUGAAAAAGUUCUUUUUCUGUCCUAUUUCAGUUACGUGUGUGUGUGUCUGUGUGUG